rnacentral:lncRNA from 1 species
GGUUGAACACAGAGAUAAUCUGUCUUUAUAGCCUGAUGCUAUUUUUUGCAUAAAUUUUUCAACAGUAUGUGGUCAGAAUGGCUUUCCCUGCUCUGAGGUGAUGUCAUAGUGAACUGUGGCCUAGGCUGUUAGAUUGGCAAUUGCAUGUCUGGCAAACAACAAAAAACACUAGCAAAAACAACCCCAACACCUUUGGAUUUGGAAAUGGAUACCUUGAAGGAUUUCCCUUCUCAAGAAAGGGGGCCUUUGGUUCUGGGGCAAUUUGGGCAAAGCUGUCACCAGCUCAGAAGUAAGAUAGAGUGUCUGAUGGCAAACAUGCUGACAGGAAAGACACAGUUUCCAGUUGUGGUACCUGUCAGUGGCCUGGGGGCCUUUGGAAAGUCAACCUACUUCUGCUGCUGCAGCAUUCCCUAUAACUGGGCUGUUAGUAAGCUGCUUGACUAGGCGCCCCUACAGCUCUGUUCCUGUGGUGACCGUGAUUCAAGCAGCUAACACAGCAGUUUUCAUUUAGUCUAACAUUUAGUCAGUCAAUAAGAAAUUAUUAAAUGUUAACUGUGUCCAAGGCACUGUAAUAAGUUGUGGGGAUAGAAAGGCAAAAAACACUGUCCCUUCUCCUUUGGAAAUCAAUCUAAUGGGGGAGACAAUAUAUAAACAACCUGACUGUCAGGUCAAGUCACUUAGUUUUUCUUGGCCUCAGUUUCUUAUCUGUAAAAUGAAGGGGUUGGUCUCCUUGGUCUCUUUGGUCUCUAAAUGGAUGAUCCUAUGAUCUGUGUGUGACCUUAAGCAAAUCAUCUAGCCACCCUGGGCCUCAGUUUCCUAUUUUUAAAAUGAAGAGGUUGAGGUUUCUCCCAGCUCUGUAUUUCUGUUGCUAUGAUCUUUCCUACCUUAGAGGAGCUUAUUAGUUGAUCAACAGGUAUUUAUUAAAUCAAUCCAUAAUCAAUCAAUCCAAACCUUUACCAAACUCCUACUCUGUACUAGGAACACAAGUAUAAAGAAUGAAGCAAUCUCUGCUUACGAUGCACUUACAUUCUAAUAGGGGAAACCAGUGCAUAUAAAAACCAUAUACAGCAUAAAUAUAAAGUUAUCU